CACGUAGGGCGCAAGCGUUGUCCGGAAUUAUUGGGCGUAAAGAGCUCGUAGGCGGUGUGUCACGUCGGCCGUGAAAACCUACAGCUUAACUGUGGGCGUGCGGUCGAUACGGGCAUCACUGGAGUUCGGCAGGGGAGACUGGAAUUCCGGGUGUAGCGGUGAAAUGCGCAGAUAUCAGGAGGAACACCGGUGGCGAAGGCGGGUCUCUGGGCCGAUACUGACGCUGAGGAGCGAAAGCGUGGGGAGCGAACAGG
rnacentral:rRNA from 1 species